UACGUAGGUGACAAGCGUUGUCCGGAAUUAUUGGGCGUAAAGAGCUCGUAGGCGGCUUAGUAAGUCGGCGGUGAAAUACCGAGGCUCAACCUCGGCACUGCCGUCGAUACUGCUAUGGCUAGAGUCUGGUAGAGGAGAACGGAAUUCCCGGUGUAGCGGUGGAAUGCGCAGAUAUCGGGAGGAACACCCGUAGCGAAGGCGGUUCUCUGGGCCAGUACUGACGCUGAGGAGCGAAAGCGUGGGGAGCAA
rnacentral:rRNA from 1 species